GCUCACGUAUAAACACUGUAAGAGGAACUAAAGGAGAUGAGCUGCUGUGCCCCAUCUAAGGGUGUAACUUCUGAUUCAGACUCCAUUUUCAGAUGUGCGUAUGUAACUGGAUUUACUGAUGUCAUGGUUUUUGUGGUGCUUGCUGCUCUGAGGCAGAUUCAUCAGGGUUACAGGGUCUACGUUAAAGCUUUCUUUGAUGUUGUUAUAACCAAAUCCAAACUUGUGCUUUUCAGUUUUCCAUUACGAUGUAUUCAGGGAAAGAUUUGAAUACAAAUCUUAGUUUAUAACUUUGAAUAUGGUGUCCACACGUUGCCAUACGUAGAGUAAAAGUCGGACACACACACAGACACAGGUUAUGUGUGACAGAGACGUAAUGAGCCGUCUGACAGAGCUUCCUGUUCCAGGAAGGCUGAUCGAGGUCAGUUCAGUCACAGUAUGUCCACUCUGAUCUAAGUGGGGACAAGACGCAACAUUGUAAUAGGUAAACGGUGAGACGUGUACUCCAGUUGUAAAAUGUGUUGAUCGCAUUAUUGUUAUAAUAUUGUUAACUGAAAAGCAGUGCUUUUGAGUAUUUUUCCUUUGAGUUCAGUGCUGUUGAUGCUUUACUCAACAGUAAAUAGAGAGCUAUAGAGCCUCUAUCCAGGGACUGAGGAACAUGUGAGUCUUUCUAUGACAGACAGAAUAAAAGUUUAAUUUGAAAAACACAUACAUGUUGUUUUAUUGUGUCUGUGGUCAUCUGUAAGUGUCACAGAAAUGGCUUAUGUAUAACGGAGGUUAAUAGUUGGUUCCAGCAGUUAAAAUGUUCUUUCUUGUACAUUUCUGUGGACCAUAUUGUAAAGGUGUGUUUUAUCUUGUUUAUGAGACGCGUUUAUCUUGUCACAAAAAACAAGUUUUUGUUGCACCGCUCUUAUCGCGAGGUUUGGGCGUGAUAAUAUAGGCUGUGAGGCCCACGUUUGAUAAUCAGGCUAAGGAGUUCAGUGAGCCAUUUGCAGAAGCCUGGUUUGUCUACUAGCUGUACAAGGUAUUUGCUAUAAUUGUAUUGUAAUAUUGUGAAAAUUUGUACUGUAUGGUGUUCUAAUUAUUUUAUGUUUUAAUUUAGAAUGCACAAGACUGUAAAGUUAUUCUUCUAGGACCUCCGAAGUGGCGGGCGGCCACGAGUUUUCAAUAAAUGCAGCAAAGCGCCCGUCUUGAAGAAGCCGUGCCUGUGUUGUCAUUUCGGAGUUAGAGUGAAAACUUGCCCUAGCUGGUGCCGGUGAGAAGCUCAUUAAGAAGACGGCAGCUGCAGAGAGUGACGGUAAAGUGGAGCGACACAAGAGGGCGCCAUUACACAAGCUCACCGUUCACAAGCAGCCAAGCACAGCAGCAUCGAUGCUAUCCAACUGGAGUAAGGAAUCCAGGCUGAAAGAAAUCACAGUUCAGCAGAGCCUGAUGAAGUCAGGUUGGUGGGAAAAGCCAGUCACUGUGGAGGUACACUGGAGAUGAAACAUGUGAGAGAAUGGAGACCAGUAGAUUUCUAUAACUGGACCCUGAAGAAAGCAGCUGUGGUCUGUGAACAUCUGGACUGUGGCUCUGCUGUUUCUGUACGAGAGAGAAAGUCCCCACGGAGAUUCGUAUGGUCGAUCAGACCUGACUGUUUUCAGUCCGGAUCUAAGUUGGGGGAUUAUUACCCUCUACCACCAUCCUCAAUCUCACCUGUUUAGGCUCAGCCAGAAGCAGCUGCUCACCUGGCAAAGCUGUUGGACUCACCUGCUCAGGUAGAAGAGGAGCUGCAGCUUUGGUUCAAACUCAGUUUAUUCUCUCACUGAUGACUCUCUGCUUUCUGUUAGAGUCUGUCAGGUUGGUGGGAGGAGCCAGUCACUGCACAGGUACAUUGGAGGUAAAACACCUGGGUGAAUGGAGACCAGUGGAUGACAAUGGCUGGACCAUGAAGCCAGCAGCUGUUGUCUGUGAACAUCUGGACUGUGGCUCUGCAGUUUCUGUAGAACUGAUAUUUAAGUCACACGGAUCUGUUUGAAGGAUCAACCCUGACUGUGUUCAGUCUGGAUCUCCUCUGAGGGAGUGCUGUUUUACAGCUGAUCCAAAGUUUAGGUCCACAUGCCUUAAAAAGGCAAAAUCUGUGCAAAAAUGUGGAUUCAUUGUCAUUUUCUGUCAGGUAGUCUCACUGUCAUGACGUUCUGAUGGCAAAGGCAAAAAAACGUUUCCUUUUUGAACGAGGUCGGGUUGUUGAAUUGCAUAAGCAGGGUCUCUCACAGCACGCCAUCACUGCUGAGGUGGGACACAGUAAGACGGUCAUUUGGAAUUCCUUAAAUAAUCCUGAGGGUUAUGGAACAAAAAAGUCAAGUGGAAAAAUGUCACCAGCACUGAGCCGGAGGAUCCAAUUGGCUGUCCGUAAAGACACUGGAAGAUUCUCGACCCAAAUUAAGGCCGUUACUGAUGCCGACUGCAGCCCCAUAACCAUCAGACGACAUCUGAGACUGAAGGGCUUCAAAAACAAAACAUGUCUUCAAAGGCCUCGUCUCCUUGGACACCACAGAACUGACCGUUUGGACCAAACAUAGGACACUGAAAGGUGGAAGAAAGUUUUAUUCUCUAAUGAGAACAAAUGUAACCUUGAUGGUCCAGAUGGUUUCCAGCGUUACUGGCAUGAUAAGCAGAUCCCACCUGAGGUGUUUUCUACGCCCACAGUGGAGGAGGCACCAUAAUGGUCUGGGGUGCUUUUUACUUCAGUGGAACAAUGGAGCUUCAGGAGAUGCAGAGGCGCCAAACCGCCACUGGCUAUGUCCAAGUAAGUCCUCAUACAGAUUUGUGUUGAAGAUCAGUCCUGAAUGUUUCCAGCUGAGAUCUUCCCGAAGAGAAUGUGUAGAACCAUCUUACUCUUCCUCUGUGCUCUAUGUCACCUGUUCAGGUAAGCCCAUCAAUUACAUAGUUUGUGAAAAACAAUGGGGGAAAAAUAGUUGAAGGUGUGACCCAAAGGAAGUGAUUGUUAGUGGAAGACAUAGAUUUAGUUCAAUUCAAAGAGUUUACUGCUGCAAAGAGUUAUGAAGGGAACAUUUAAGCACAGAGACCAAGAAAGUUUUUGUAACCAGCUGCAAACUCUUAUGAAGUUGUACAUUUGAACACUGGAGCCUAUGGAGGAAGCAAAAGAACAGCCGAACAAUACGCAGACCUGCUGGCUCAGCCAAACAUUGUCCCCGCCUCCAUGGACGGGGUCUCUGAGGCACGGCAGCAGGGGCUUCGGGUAUCCAGGGGCUACAGCUUCACCAUCAGCUGCUCCAUCCAGCCACAGUACCCAGGAGGCUCCUUCCAGCUCACCUUCACUUCCUCCAAUACAGCAUACAAUUACACCCAGCCAGUUGUCAAUCACUCUGCCCACUUCCUGUUUCCUGUCACAGAGCCUGCCCACCAAGGAAACUACAGCUGCUUUUAUCAUGUUUAUGUUUUUUCUCAUAACUUCUCCUCUGAGAGCCGCCAGCUGUGCGCGACUGUCUCAGAUCAUCCAGAUCUCACAGGCUUCAUCAUCAGAGCGCUCGUCCUGCCGCUGAUCCUGCUGUUGGAGAGCGUUGUUCUGUAUCUCUACUGUAAGACCAGCAGGGGGCAGAAGUUGAGCAGACAGGAGAACAUCAAGCUGGUUAACCGUAACAUUGGUGUUGGUGCAGCUGAAGAAGGGCCGGCUGAAGAGGAGGGAGCUCAUCUCAUAUCCAGAUGAAGUUCUCAGCUCAUCCAUCACCUCAGUCAUAGAUUUUACUUUUUUUCUACCAAAGAUUCCGUUAAUCAGUCAGG